rnacentral:lncRNA from 1 species
UCAUGUUUGAGCUUAACAAUACCUUAAUGUCCCAUCCAGCAGGACUUAGUUAUUCCAUGUGUUGAGGAGGACCAAGGCCUGUAAGAGAAACGGGCGGAGAAAGGGGAGCGAUACCAAACAAAGUGCUGUCAAGGUCUGUUUAAUGGAGGCUAGGAGCCUGGUUAUAAGCACACAAUGAGAGAAAAUAGGGAGGGGUUGAGGCAUACAAUAAAAGUACAGAGAAAGGGAUGGACAUCUGGGGUAGAUGCUGAUUGCAGCCUUCAAACAUCUUGCAGUUUAUCUUGGAGUGUCUGCCCUAUCUAAACAGUCCCAGGUACCAAAUGGACACAGGAAGGAGGAGGUGAUGCUGGCUUUAUCUAAACAGUCCCAGGCGAGAAGUGGAGACAUGAAGGAGGGGGUGGCAUAACUCCCAUCAAAGGGUCAGCCGGAUCUUCAGGAUGAAGUUCCAGAAUGUCCCACCUCGGAAAAACUCUAAAGAUAAGUGGAAACACAACAAUUACUAAUAAAAUAAUGCCAAUCAUAAUAGCAAGUAGGAUUAUAUAUUGAACCGGAUCCAGGGGAGUCAAUGCAUUUAGGUUGUUUUUUAAAUCUCUGGCCAAUUCAUCAAUGUUCCAAGUGUCCAAGUGACUUUUACUAAUAUCUGAAAUUUCUGCCUUUGUAGCCUUAAUAUUUGCUAUAUCCUGCCCUAUUGCUGAGACUACUACUUCUAAGACAUUAACCUUUGCCUCCAAUUUUUUAUCUAUAAUAAGUUGCUCUGACAAAGCUAUGGAAAUAUUCUUAUGCAUGUCAUUAACAAAAUGAGCAGUAUGCAGCUGCUGAUCUAAAGGUGUGGUAGAUAUUGAAGUUAAAAUUGCAAUUAAAGCAGUAAAUCCUAAAAUUGCUCAUUUGACCUUUUCCAAGUUUGCAUUCCCGGAUUUUUAAACCGGGGAUCAUUUCCUAACUCUAACAGGCAGCAAAACAUAAGCAGGUCUCUUUAACAAAACAAUAACAGCAGAUUCCGUAUCUAAAUUAGGAUCUACACAAUUAGUUAAUUAACAAGAAUUACAAUGAAUAUGAAAAGACUUGUCAAGAUUGGUGAUCUUAACUCUUAAAAUUAUCUAACAAUAGAGCAUAUAGGUACGGUUCACAAGCUUUCACAGCUAUAGAGGAGUUGGCGUGAAUGGCCAAAAACAGUGUCUCUGACGAAAUCUUGUCAAAUACACUGUAGCAGUCCCUCCACCUCAUGAGUCAUCAUUUUUAGUUGUCCCCAAGUUGACACCAGGGCGGCUCUCCUUGCUGUAGCCCAUGGUGGAGAUAGGAAGUUUCUUCGUCUUGUUUGCAAGUGGCUGCUCUCCCUGAUUUUUCUUUCUCUGUGCGCUCAACACAGCUUUCUUGUCACCACUGUCAGGACACUCAGGAACUCACAAGUCAUCCUAUCACAUGAAUCAUUCUGGAAGCUAGCAUGCUUCUGCAGCAUUCUGUGGAAAAAACAGAAACACCCCCUCUAUCCCCCAUAUUAAUUUUCUGUUCAGGAUCAUGUCAUGUGCCAAUAAGUGGAUUCUUUUCAUCUCACCUAGACAUGGUUAUGUCUAGUUUUAAGAUACUAUAAGGCAUUUAUUAAGUUCUUGGACAUCCAAAUUUCAAAAUUCUUAAAAAUAAAAGUAUGGUUUAAAUAACGUGCAUGGGGGUAUAAUUUCCCUCUUCUUUGUUUUUUUAAGAAGAUAGAAUUUUUAAAGUUCCAUAAUACCUUGUCUUUGAGAAUUAUUAAAUGUUGACAAACAAUCUCAAAUACUUGACUUUUAUAGUCAGUUUUAAUAUAAUGUGGGCAGUGACUAAUUACACUUUUUAUUGUUUCUCCUGAAGAGCAGUUGUAACUAGUAUGCUUGAAAAGUUAUUAUAGUCACAUGUGUAUAAUUUAUUUAUUUAUUAAUCAGAAAUAAGAGCAUUCAUUUGCAGCAAUUGAUUAAGUAUAGGUCCUCAAGAAUUAAUACCAUUAUGUGGAAACAGGUAGGAACUGAGGACAGCAGAGCAAUUUUUUUUUUUUACAGUUUGACAUGUACCUUCUCUAAAAAUACCAAAACAUUAUCUUAAACCAUUACUAUUUUGAAUAUGUAAAGAACGAGAUUAUAUAGCCAAUCCUUCUUAUGUAACACCUGUAGUCUGCCUGAGAUAUAAAUCUAGCGUGGCAUUGCCUUAAGAGGUCUUAUCCAGGCAAUCCAGAACAAUUUAUUAAAUGUCUGAAGGCAGUCUUCUUAAAAGAACAGCAUUUUUACUUAUGAGUAAUAUAUGCAUAAGCAAUUGCAAAUUUGAGAAUUAAUAGCAUCUGACAGGCAAACAAUCUUAAGCAAUUGUAAGCUCUGAAAUAUAAUAUUGACUAUUAAUAUACAACUUAAAGUUUGAUUGUUCAACAUUUUAAAACAGCAUCUACAGCACACAAUUUAAUUAUCUGUGCUGAAACAAGAGGAAACUCAAAAGAAUAAACGUGUGAUCUAAUUCACAUAUACCUUUUUUUCCCAUAGAGGGGUUGUUUGUAAACACAGUAAUUGGGAUGUAUGCAUGAAUUUAUAGAAGGUACAGAAGCAUGCAUAAAAACAAUUUUGAACUAUUUUAGGAUAGUGAGUAUCAAUUGUAUUUAAAAUGAUGGCAUGCAAAUGGCCAAAUAUUAAUAUUCUGUAAUAACCAAAUUAAUGGCUAUCUGGAACAAGGAACAGACACUUAGUCAGGUUCUUAAGACACAAUUUUUGUUUUGGUUUUUCUAAAAUAUAUGAAUUUAUCUUACAAUUCUUUAUUAGCACCACAGUGGCCUUAAUAGGGUGUUAAAAAUUUACUUUGAGGUGAAAAAGGAUGAUUUUACAACAAUGUUUUCUCUUGCCAAAGAUUUGCUGUAGCCACAUAAAUAAAAUGAGCAGGUAAUAUUUAAUUACCAUUGAUUUUAAUUGAUAACAAUUGAUCACAGAAGUUUCCUCUGCUUUCUGUGAAACCUUUUUGUUUCUCACCAGUAAUUUUGAUUCUCACUAGAUAGCACCUAACAAUGGUUUCAGUUGCUUUAAGGCCUCAAGGUGAGGUCUUAGCCAAUUAACAUCUCUUGGGAGCUUUUGAAAAUAAAAUCUUGAAGCAAAUCAAUUUUUCCUACUUAGAUUUUCUGUACCACGAUUCUCUAGUAUAGCUAAAACCCGAAGUAUUAAAAAGAUAUUGUCUCUGAACAUUUUCUGAAGUUAUAGCUACUCCCAAGAACUUAAAAGCUCAUUGUGUGAGAGCAAGGAUUUAAAGUAAACUUUCCCUUAAACGCAUUAGCUACUAAAAUACUUUUCACUUAGGAAACAAUAUACACUGCAAGAUUCAAAUUCUUAGCUUCUUGUAUUGAAGCAAAGACAAUAAGAAUUUUUCUUACAUGAAGUAAAACUAUAUAAGCCAUACCUAGAGGCAAAAUUUUCCAGUGAUUACAAGCUCACUAGAAGCAAACUCUGUACACUAUAACUUUAUAUGAAGUAGGCAAGUCAAAUCGCAAUGUCUUAAUAAAUUCCACAGCCUGAUUGACCUUUUAUAAACUUUGAAUUUAAACUUUACUAGUACAACAUCUGGCUAGAUCUGCAACAAUGCUCUUUUAGCUAAAAGGAAUUUUCCCUGAAGGAAGGGAGAGGUGGGGUCCCAAGAACUUCCAUAGUCACGGUUUGUGAAACAAAAGAAAUGCCACACAAGCCUUGCUGAGGCUGCUCCGAGCUCCGCAUCAACCCAAACACAAACAUUUCUCAAUCUGAGCACUCUGACAGAGUCCUGGCCCAAAGAUUAUCCCUAUUUUGAAGUAUCUUUAAAGACCUGUUUUCCUGGGUUCACUCAUGCCACAUGUUGUUUAGAAUAACUCCAACCCUGAGUUACCAAUUUUAAGCUAACUUUCUGUUACAAGCAAAAGUCUGCCGGCCCUUUAAGAGCUGCUUGUGUAUAUAAUCAGCCUCUAGCAGGGCUUUUCCAGCUGUACUUGACUCCCAGCCACAGUUCAGUGUAACUUAUCAGUUUCUGCUGUGCAAAUUAAGACUGCCUUUUAAACAAGUUAAACUAAAUCAAAGGAUGAACAGGCAGUGAAAGAACCUAGUGAGGAACCCCCCACUCAAUUCCCGAAUCGGCACACAUCCAAGGAAUCACAAGAGACCGUCUUGAAUGCAAAUACACAAGGUAGUUUAAUGACGGAGCUCUGGCCUACACGUAUCUCACACAGGAGACAGAGGUUGUCAACCACAAGGCUCAAAAGCUAGGGGAUUUUAUAGAAAAGGGUCUGGGGCUGGGGAAGGAAUUAGUGAGGUUUCACGCGAUUGGUUCAUUUAAACAUCAGAGAAAGAGUAUGUGCAGGUAAGGGCAUCAGGAAUUCUGAGUGCCAGGUGCUUAUCUAAGUCAUCAGAGCAUCUGGUUAACAUUUAACCCAGGUCAGAAGGGCGGGAUAUAGGGAGGUGCCUGGCCAGUCUAUACAUUCUUGUAUGUCUUCUCUAUCUUUAUGGCUAGCCAGUUCCUGGGAUGACUUUACAGACUUUGUUCUCUGCUCUAGGCCCAAAAGACCUUCCUAACUAGAAAACCACAUGAGUCAUGGACCUUGAAUUUUAAUUUUCUUUCACCAGCAGAUAAAGUUUUAACCAUUUUUUUCUUCAACAUGAAACACAGAACAACAAUCAUUCAAACAACAAAACAAAAACAAACAUAGACAGACAUAUGGACAAAUUGGUGCAUGAAGGACAGACAAUAGACAGAGAGGGAAUAGAACUUGAUGUCUCAAAGGGACCCAGAAAUCCUAACCAAAACUAAGAAUAUCUCCAUAGGAGCCAGAGAGGAAGCAGGACGUCUUCCGAUUUCCUUCUGUCCCUAGGAGAGCUCUGAAAUAGCUUAUUUUCAUUUUCCCUCUUUUUUGUUAAAAGUUCCCAAACAGGGGAUAACUGCUUUUCUGAAACCUAUUCUCUCUCUUUCUCUCUCUCUCUCAUGUUCAAAUUCUAAUUCUUUAUCUCCUGGGAAUUCUGCCAGAGAAGGGAGAGGAGGCACAAUGGUAGCUUCUGAUAGUUACUCCCCUCUGGUUUUGGAGCUGUAAAACUUCUUGUAACCCCGCGACUUGAAACAUGAGUUUGUUUCUGGCAUCUAUGAGAGUGGAAUGGACAAUGUUGGUGGAGGGGGUCAAAGGGUGGAUGCGCAGAUUGGCAGAAUGUAGGGAGGAAGACCGUCCGGAGGGGCUUAGGUGCGCGGUGGCUGAUCCAGCUUAUAAGAACGUACCUCCACUUCCUCCGAAAUGUCUGUGUCCUGAGGACCUAGAGGUCCCUCAGCCAAGGUUUUUUUUUUUUAAUUUUUUAUUACAUAUUUUCCUCAAUUACAUUUUCAAUGCUAUCCCAAAAGUACCCCACCCUCCCCC